CAUGUGACGCGCGGCCGCAGCUGCCCGCGGGCGGAGCGCUCUCAGACCCCGGAGCGCACACCGCGGGGCCAUCGGUGCCAUCGCGGAUCUCCAGGCUCCUCAUCAGUCCGCCGGGGCCGCAGCAGCGCUUCUGGGAAGACGGGCGAUGAACUGAAGGGCGGCUCCGGGCAGGGGGGCACGAUCUUAAGGACAGUCGCUCCCUGAACGCGGAGCCGGAGGAGACGAAGGGAAGGUGGAGCGGACGCCACCCGCGCACCGGGCAGGCGCGGAGACCGGCGUGGGACAGCCACCUGGAGCGCAGCUGCCAGAAAGAAGGACUUUGCUGCUUUGGGCCAGGAUCUGAACUUAGGUGUAAACCAUUGCCCUGGCAGAGGGAACCUACCCAGUCCAUUGCUGCCUGCUACAAGAUAUGAACAGUAAUGGCACAUAUUUUGGUUAUGAGUCACUCAGAGGACUGUGGAUUGAAUGAACUGUAUCCAUCCCCAUCAUGAUGUACAGAACCAAGUCUCUUCACUAUGUACAGUGUACUUGACCAGAGGAUUCAUGAGGGGCAGUAUUGUAGUACGCAGAGUGCGGAAGCAGAGAAGAGAGUCCAGCUGUUUGUUCGUUAAGCCAGAUAUGGAAGAGAUUUGCAAAAAAUGUAAAUCAUGUCACAUUUUACUAAUUUUGUCUUAGAAUAUGUGUUAUUUUCAUUAAAAGAUACUGUUUAAUUAUGCUAA
rnacentral:lncRNA from 1 species